UUUUGACAACAGGGCUGUGAAUUGGAAAGACAAGUAUGCACUUCAGCUGUAUGGAUGUAUGUAAUAAUAUAAAAAGUAUAAAUAUUGUUAAAAUUCCAAAACUAAUGCUGAAAGGACUGAGGGUUAUUUUAAAAACAAACUUUAUUUUGGUAACAGUUUUAGACUUGCAGAAAUGUUGCAGAGAGGUGCACAGAGUUCUCGUAACCUUAGAACAGAUUCUCUUAUUACUAACAUCUUAACACUAGCAGGAUUCAUUUAUUACGAUUAAGGAAACAAUACUGAUAUAUUGUUAUUAACUAAAGUCAAUACUAUAUUAAAAUUUAUUAAAUUCUUACCUCAUGUCUUUUUUUCUGUCCCAGCAUACAUCCUAGAGUACCACAUUACAUUUAGUCAUCAUGUCUCCUAAGGCUCCUCUUGUGACACUUUCUCAUACUUGCCUUCUUAUUAUUGAUGACCUUGAUAGUUUUGAGAAAUACUGAUUAGGUAUUUUGUAAAAUGUCCCUCUUUUGAGGACUGUUUGCUGUGUUUCUCAUAAUUAGACUGGAGUUAUGGAUUUUUGGGGGAAGGCCCUUUGAGGUAAAGUGCCAUGUCUGUGACAUCAUAUCAAGGGUACAUAAUGCCACCAGGACUUGUCAAUAUUGGUGUUGUCCUUGAUCAUCUAGCUAAAAGUGUAUUUGUCUGGUUUCUCCAACUACGAAAUUCUUACCUCUAACCCCACCCCCUUCAUACUGUACUCCUUGGAACAAAGUCACUAUGCCAACACUUACGGAGUUGAGAGAAUUGAUAGGGUGGAAAUCUAGAGGCACCAUAUGAUGUCCUUCUGAAGAAAAGUUCAGGGGGUCAUGAAACCCAGGCUUUAUACCCCCAGAAAACUGCCAAGUGUAUGGAUUCUCCUUCACCAGGGGGCCAGGUGAUUCUUGAAGGAAUCACAAAGAGAAUACUUUGAGAUGGGAAAAAAAUCUCAGAAAAUUUGUCAUUUUUGUAAGAUGCUGAUCUCCUGAAUAUUUCUCCAAGCGACCCAGACAUGUGUCCGAUCUAAAUAAGGAGGCAUCUUCAGAAAUUCUUCACAAACACCCCCAAGAAAUCAUAAAGUGAGGGUCUGUGACCUUUGCCUUUGCAAAGAAAAAUAUGUAGAUCUUCCCACUGACCGAAGAAUGAAAAUCUCAUUAAAAACUUGUUUCAGAGAGAUUGGAGCAGGGAGCAGAUGUCAGUAGAACUACCAAAUUGUAUGUUCCUUUUGUUACAUGAAUGUAGUUAUUUAAAAUAAAAUGUUGAUGCUAUUAUAACAUGA